GCUUCGGUGGCCUAGUGGUUAGAGCGUCUGCCUAUGGAUGUGGGAAGUCAAGGGUUCGAUUCUCGGCCGAGUCA